AGUGAACGCUGGCGGUAGGCCUAACACAUGCAAGUCGAACGGCAGCACAGUAAGAGCUUGCCCUUACGGGUGGCGAGUGGCGGACGGGUGAGGAAUACAUCGGAAUCUACUUUUUCGUGGGGGAUAACGUAGGGAAACUUACGCUAAUACCGCAUACGACCUACGGGUGAAAGCAGGGGAUCUUCGGACCUCGCGCGAUUGAAUGAGCCGAUGUCGGAUUAGCUAGUUGGCGGGGUAAAGGCCCACCAAGGCGACGGUCCGUAGCUGGUCUGAGAGGAUGAUCAGGCACACUGGAACUGAGACACGGUCCAGACUCCUACGGGAGGAAGCAGUGGGGAAUAUUGGACAAUGGGCGAAAGCCUGAUCCAGCCAUACCGCGUGGGUGAAGAAGGCCUUCGGGUUGGAAAGCCCUUUUGUUGGGAAAGAAAAGCAGCAGGUUAAUACCCCGCUGUUCUGACGGUACCCAAAGAAUAAGCACCGGCUAACUUCGUG
rnacentral:rRNA from 1 species